rnacentral:rRNA from 1 species
AGAGUUUGAUCCUGGCUCAGGAUGAACGCUGGCGGCGUGCUUAACACAUGCAAGUCGAACGAAGCACUUUUAUUUGAUUUCUUCGGAAUGAAGAUUUUAGUGACUGAGUGGCGGACGGGUGAGUAACGCGUGGGUAACCUGCCUCAUACAGGGGGAUAACAGUUAGAAAUGACUGCUAAUACCGCAUAAGACCACAGCACCGCAUGGUCUGGUGUGAAAAACUCCGGUGGUAUAAGAUGGACCCGCGUUGGAUUAGCUAGUUGGCAGGGCAGCGGCCUACCAAGGCGACGAUCCGUAGCCGGCCUGAGAGGGUGAACGGCCACAUUGGGACUGAGACACGGCCCAGACUCCUACGGGAGGCAGCAGUGGGGAAUAUUGCACAAUGGGGGAAACCCUGAUGCAGCGACGCCGCGUGAAGGAAGAAGUAUCUCGGUAUGUAAACUUCUAUCAGCAGGGAAGAUAAUGACGGUACCUGACUAAGAAGCCCCGGCUAACUACGUGCCAGCAGCCGCGGUAAUACGUAGGGGGCAAGCGUUAUCCGGAUUUACUGGGUGUAAAGGGAGCGUAGACGGCGCAGCAAGUCUGAUGUGAAAGGCAGGGGCUUAACCCCUGGACUGCAUUGGAAACUGCUGUGCUUGAGUGCCGGAGGGGUAAGCGGAAUUCCUAGUGUAGCGGUGAAAUGCGUAGAUAUUAGGAGGAACACCAGUGGCGAAGGCGGCUCUCUGGACUGUAACUGACACUGAGGCACGAAAGCGUGGGGAGCAAACAGGAUUAGAUACCCUGUAGUCCACGCCGUAAACGAUGAAUACUAACUGUCGGAAGUUACCCCCUUCGGGGGCGCAGUUAACGCAUUAAGUACUCC